rnacentral:lncRNA from 1 species
UUGGGGGAUGAGGCAGCUGUUGGAGAGGGAUGGGUCAAGGGAUGGAGGGUAGCACUGUGAGCUGAAAUAGGUGAAUUGGGAGGGAUGCUGGCUAGAGAAGAGGAGGCAAGAAGAGAUUGAAGGGAAAUCUCAAGGGGCUCCAGAGACUACUACGAUGGUGCAAAGUCACAGAAGCCCUGGGAAAAGCAGGUAGAAUGGAGUUGCCAUGACAUUGAGCCUCACCUAGAUGCCAGGUAGGUAACA